CUUGGCUAAUGUGUCCCGGCUAAUGUGUCUUGGCUAAUGUGUCUUGGCUAAGGUGUCUUGGCUAAGGUGUCUUGGCUAAGGUGUCUUGGCUAAGGUGUCUUGGCUAAGGUGUCUUGGCUAAGGUGUCUUGGCUAAUGUGUCUCGGCUAAUGUGUCUUGGCUAAUGUGUCUUGGCUAAGGUGUCUUGGCUAAUGUGUCUUGGCUAAGGUGUCUUGGCUAAGGUGUCUUGGCUAAGGUGUCUUGGCUAAUGUGUCUCGGCUAAUGUGUCUUGGCUAAGGUGUCUUGGCUAAGGUGUCUUGGCUAAGGUGUCUCGGCUAAUGUGUCUUGGCUAAUGUGUCUUGGCUAAGGUGUCUUGGCUAAGGUGUCUUGGCUAAGGUGUCUUGGCUAAGGUGUCUUGGCUAAUGUGUCUCGGCUAAUGUGUUUUGGCUAAUGUGUCUUGGCUAAUGUGUCUUGGCUAAGGUGUCUUGGCUAAUGUGUUUUGGCUAAUGUGUCUUGGCUAAUGUGUCUUGGCUAAGGUGUCUUGGCUAAGGUGUCUUGGCUAAUGUGUCUUGGCUAAUGUGUCUUGGCUAAGGUGUCUUGGCUAAUGUGUCUUGGCUAAGGUGUCUUGGCUAAUGUGUCUCGGCUAAUGUGUCUUGGCUAAUGUGUCUUGGCUAAGGUGUCUUGGCUAAUGUGUCUUGGCUAAGGUGUCUUGGCUAAUGUGUCUUGGCUAAUGUGUCUUGGCUAAGGUGUCUUGGCUAAUGUGUCUUGGCUAAUGUGUCUUGGCUAAUGUGUCUUGGCUAAGGUGUCUUGGCUAAGGUGUCUUGGCUUAGGUGUCUUGGCUAAGGUGUCUUGGCUAAUGUGUCUUGGCUAAGGUGUCUUGGCUAAGGUGUCUUGGCUAAGGUGUCUUGGCUAAGGUGUCUUGGCUAAUGUGUCUCGGCUAAUGUGUCUUUACUAAUGUGUCUUGGCUAAGGUGUCUUGGCUAAGGUGUCUUGGCUAAGGUGUCUUUGCUAAUGUGUCUUGGCUAAGGUGUCUUGGCUAAUGUGUCUCGGCUAAUGUGUCUUGGCUAAUGUGUCUUGGCUAAGGUGUCUUGGCUAAUGUGUCUUUACUAAUGUGUCUUGGCUAAGGUGUCUUGGCUAAGGUGUCUUGGCUAAGGUGUCUUGGCUAAUGUGUCUUGGCUAAGGUGUCUUGGCUAAUGUGUCUCGGCUAAUGUGUCUUGGCUAAUAUGCCUUGGCUAAGGUGUC